rnacentral:rRNA from 1 species
GACGAACGCUGGCGGCGUGCUUAACACAUGCAAGUCGAACGGAAAGGCCCUGCUUUUGUAGGGUGCUCGAGUGGCGAACGGGUGAGUAACACGUGAGUAACCUGCCCUUGACUUUGGGAUAACUUCAGGAAACUGGGGCUAAUACCGGAUAGGAGCUCCUGCUGCAUGGUGGGGGUUGGAAAGUUUCGGCGGUUGGGGAUGGACUCGCGGCUUAUCAGCUUGUUGGUGGGGUAGUGGCUUACCAAGGCUUUGACGGGUAGCCGGCCUGAGAGGGUGACCGGCCACAUUGGGACUGAGAUACGGCCCAGACUCCUACGGGAGGCAGCAGUGGGGAAUAUGGCACAAUGGGCGGAAGCCUGAUGCAGCAACGCCGCGUGCGGGAUGACGGCCUUCGGGUUGUAAACCGCUUUCGCCUGUGACGAAGCGUGAGUGACGGUAAUGGGGAAAGAAACACCGGCUAACUACGU